rnacentral:lncRNA from 1 species
CCUAAGUUUGAGCACUUAAACAAUUUGCAUCCUAAGUUUUAGCACACCCUAAUAGUAACUAAAACAGUAACUGCAUUUGAAGAGGCAGGACAAUAACAUUAAGUAGAAUCUUUUUCCUCAUUCUUUCUAGUUUUAUUUUAUGGAAUCAAGGUGGAUUUCGGUCCUCUUAGAGCAUCCAACUAAUCCAUCAACCAACACGAACCAGCCCGCAAGAGCGCAGCACCAGGCGCAUACAUAGCAUUUGAGGAUACCACAAGGUUUCAAAAUGUUACCUCCCGUUAUUUUUCUGGAGAGAGAGAGAGAGAGAGAUCAACAUAUGAAGAUAUGUUGAAGCAAAAAUUCACUUCUUGCAACUUUAUACGCCCUAAAAAACUUUAAAGAAGAUAUACUAUCAGAAAAUUGUGGAUAAAAGACAGAAAUGAAGUUUUUCAGAGCAUGGAAUCCAUUGAGAAUUAGAGGGAAAGAAUAAGACCUUACAUUUAAAAAGGUAGGUGUGGUUUUAUGG